rnacentral:rRNA from 1 species
UGGGGAAUCUUGCGCAAUGGACGAAAGUCUGACGCAGCCACGCCGCGUGAGUGAAGAAGGCCUUCGGGUUGUAAAGCUCUGUCGCCCGGGACGAAAAUACUUUAGGUGAAUAGCCUAAAAUACUGACGGUACCGGGAGAGGAAGCACCGGCUAACUCCGUGCCAGCAGCCGCGGUAAUACGGAGGGUGCAAGCGUUGCUCGGAAUUAUUGGGCGUAAAGGGUAGGUAGGUGGUCUUAUUUGUCUGGGGUGAAAGCCUUGAGCUUAACUCAAGAAGUGCCCCAGAAACGGUAAGACUCGAGUCUUGGAGAGGGUCGUGGAAUUCCCGGUGUAGCGGUAAAAUGCGUAGAGAUCGGGAGGAACACCAGAGGCGAAAGCGGCGACCUGGACAAGUACUGACACUCAACUACGAAAGCGUGGGGAGCAAACAGGAUUAGAUACCCCCGUAGUCC